rnacentral:rRNA from 1 species
GAUGAACGCUAGCGGGAGGCCUAACACAUGCAAGCCGAGCGGUAUUGUUUCUUCGGAAAUGAGAGAGCGGCGUACGGGUGCGUAACACGUGUGCAACCUGCCUUUAUCUGGGGGAUAGCCUUUCGAAAGGAAGAUUAAUACUCCAUAACAUAUUGAACGGCAUCGUUUAAUAUUGAAAGCUCCGGCGGAUAGAGAUGGGCACGCGCAAGAUUAGCUAGUUGGUGAGGUAACGGCUCACCAAGGCGAUGAUCUUUAGGGGGCCUGAGAGGGUGAUCCCCCAGACUGGUACUGAGACACGGACCAGACUCCUACGGGAGGCAGCAGUGAGGAAUAUUGGACAAUGGGUGAAAGCCUGAUCCAGCCAUCCCGCGUGAAGGACGACUGCCCUAUGGGUUGUAAACUUCUUUUGUAUAGGGAUAAACCUACCCUCGUGAGGGUAGCUGAAGGUACUAUACGAAUAAGCACCGGCUAACUCCGUGCCAGCAGCCGCAGUAACAC